rnacentral:misc_RNA from 1 species
GAUGAAGAACGUAGUGAAAUGCGAUAAGUAAUGUGAAUUGCAGAAUUCAGUGAAUCAUCGAAUCUUUGAACGCACAUUGCGCCCGCCAGUAUUCCGGCGGGCAUGCCUGUUCGAGCGUCAUUACAACCCUCAGGCCCCCGGGCCUGGCGUUGGGGAUCGGCGGAAGCCCCCUGCGGGCACAACGCCGUCCCCCAAAUACAGUGGCGGUCCCGCCGCAGCUUCCAUUGCGUAGUAGCUAACACCUCGCAACUGGAGAGCGGCGCGGCCACGCCGUAAAACACCCAACUUCUGAAUGUUGACCUCGAAUCAGGUAGGAAUACCCGCUGAACUUAAGCAUAUCAAUAAGCGGAGGA